rnacentral:rRNA from 1 species
AUGGAGGCGCAGCAGUCCGCCGGCAUGUCCGAUCUCGCCGCCCGCCUUACCAAGCGACUCGCGGAUCCUUACAGCGACCGCAACCUGGUCUUCUCGCCGCUCUCCAUCUACGUCGUCCUGGCGCUCCUGGCCGCCGGCGCCCGUGGGAAGACCCUGGAAGAGAUCCUCCGCGCCCUAGGGGCACUGUCCCGCCGCGAGCUUGAGGACUCCGUGGCGCGACUCUUGGACGGCCCCCUCAGGGACAGGUCGUCGGAGCCUGGCGGCAGCGGGCCGAGCGUGGCGUUCGCGUGCGGCGUGUGGAGCGACCUGACGCAGCUGCUGAAGCCGGCCUUCCGCGACGCCGUCGUCGGCAGGUACAGGGCCGAGGCCAGCUCCGUCGACUUCCGCAACGACCUAAAGCAAGCGGUGCGGCAGAUCGACGCUUGGGCCGCGGCGGCCACGGGGAACCUCAUCCAGUCCGCUGUCCCUCCGGGAGCCGUACACCGGAAGACCAGGCUCGUGCUGGCCAACGCCAUCUACUUCAGGGGCAAAUGGGACGUGCCGUUCUACGAGAGCUCGACCAAGAACAGGCCCUUCUACCGGCAGGACGGCACCGCCGUCGACGUCCCCUUCAUGUCCAACUACGACCGUCACUUGAUCGCCGAGCACGACGGGUUCAAGGUGCUCAAGCUACGCUACAAGAGUGGUGCACGGUACAUGUCCAUGUGCAUCUUCCUCCCGGACGCGCGCGACGGCCUGGCGAGCCUUCUGGACAAGAUCACGUCGUCUUCCCCGGCAGGCUUCCUGCGCGAGCACCUGCCGAACAGCAAGGUCUCGACCGGCAAGUUCGGGGUGCCCAAGUUCGAGCUCUCCUUCGACAGCAGCCUCGACGGCGUCCUCAACGACCUGGGGCUCCUGAUAGACGCCGACCUCUCCGAGAUGCUGGAGGAC